rnacentral:lncRNA from 1 species
ACUGAGAUUUGUUUAACUGUUAAAGAGGCAUUUUAGUCCGCUGCUGAAUCGCUGGUGUAUUUUGUUGUUAAUUCUCUUGGUUUAGGUCAUACGGAGCCGGGAUCUAGAGCAGCUACCAGCACCUCUUUUGACCCCAAAAAAAGCUGAUGGGGAGCAGCGAGCGGCCAGGAGAGCGAGCGAGUGCACCAGGGCUGGCGUCGGGGUGCGAGGAGGCAGUGACAGCGCGGGGAAGCUGUGCGGGCGAGCUGACAGCAGGGGCAGGAAAUCUGUCCGUGUCCGAGUCCUGCAAGAACUCUGGUCUGCUCCACGCGCUGCGUUCGGAGGUUUUAAGCGCUGUGUGGGACUCUGCAAGAUGGAAAUCCCUGUCGAAUCCCUGUUCCAUUCCGCGAGGCUUUCUGUACACGAAGGAACCGCACGAGGGAAGCUGUCGGUCUGUUUUCUGUUUGCACAAGUCAAAUGCCAUAAACGUGGAAGACAAACCUUCGUUUGGAAACGAAGCACCCGUGUUCCGUGCACAGCUGAUUUUGUUGCUCCAAGGGUAGACGCCGGGAGUUCCUGGUGGCUCUCUAUAUAUGUAUGUAUGUGUACAGAGGAAGCGCUUCUAUAAAGUGGCCAUUCAUUCUCGAGUGCUGGUGUCUUCUCUGCUCCCUUUUCCCCCGCGGCCAGCAGCGUGGCUGUGUGCCCGUGGUCGUGCUCCGUGCGCGGUGACAGCUUCCACCAAGUGUGAUCUGCUCAAAUUCCACCCUUUGGCCUCAGCCCGGUCGGCUGGUGCUGGGCUUUGCUGCUCGGGCUUCUCUUUAGGGAACAAAAUGAAACCCAGCAGCCGCAAGGAGGGCAAGGGGAUAGGUUUGGCUUGUGUGGGCUGGGACGUGGGGGUGGUUUAAACGUGCUCACUACCCUCAUCUCUAGAGGUGAACAGAAUACAGCAUUUUUUUCCCCCUGUACUGGUUUUCACCACGUUGUACUCUACAAAGUGGAUUUCUGAGCUCACAAAGCAAGGUCCCAACCUGCGCUGUAGGUUUUAGAUCGCAGCACCGUGUGUGUGUGUAUAUGCACAUACAUAUAUUUAUACAACAGGUGUGCACCUUGCACUUGCUGCCGUUUUUUCUUUGGUGGUAAAACGUGAAUUUUGGCUCAAAGUGCUUCUGUGAGCUCUCAGACAAGUGCACUGUGCAAGUUUUUUGUGGCCAAAAUUGGGCUUUCUCCUUGCAGCUGCAGGAAAAACAACUCCUGGCUUGAGUGACUGAUGAAACAGCGGCAGGAUCCUGUUGUAUAAAUAAAGAGGUGGUGGGCAAAGCAGGGAGCUGUGCUGCCUGGAAAGGAGAAAACAACCUUUACUCCCGAAAUCUUCCCUCCUUGCUAGAGUGAAUUAAAACUUGAACAGUGUUUUGGCACAGCCUUCUCCAGCUGCUCAAUUUGCAGUGUUUGCAGGUCGGGCUCGUAAGCCGGGGAGCUCUUGCAAGUCACCAAACUGCAGUUAGUUUGUGUAAAGGCAGCUUGUGGCCGGCCUUCGUGGGGGUGCCACCGGGUUGCUGCUGCUCGUGCCGGGUGGAGAGCGCAGCCGAGCCUGCACCCCAGGAGCUGAUGCCUGAUGCAGAGCGUGAGUUUCCGCGGUGGGUUUCCAUGCAGCAGGUGGGGGGGAUCCCACCUCCUGCGCCCACUUUUGUCAUUCUGUCCGUGUCCCACGCGGUCGAUGAACUCUGCCUCUUGCCAAGUCCCAGAGCCUCGCCGUGUCCUCGUUUGGGCGUGCGCCACGUGAGCCCGUUGCUGUCAUCCCUUCCUCUGCUCGUCCCCACCUUCUCCCACCUUUUUUUUUGGGCUGGGCGUGGGUCGUUUGCUUUGCGUUAUCAGCUCAUCCAAGGCGGUUUCUAUUAAUUUUGCAUGUGAGCAGGGCCCUGAGCUAAGGAAUUCAUCACGGGGUUGUGUUGUACUGGCCUCUUUCCGAAGCCUGAGGGAGCUGAGGACGGCAGGAGGAGGGAAUGCGUUCGGCGUUUGCACUGUACUUCACCUCGGGCGGGGCGGGGUGGGGGGAGCCCGUCUUUAAAAAAAAAAAAAAAGUUGUAAAAAAGAAAAAAAAAAAAAAAACCACAAUCGAAGUAUGAAUGCAUUUGAGAAGCAAUUAUAAUAUAGACAUAUAUAUAUUUUGUUAUGUUACUAAAGGACCAUACUUUGAACUGUAUGUAAGUAGAUGUGGCUGUCCGAACCUUGUGGAUUGUAACACUCGAUACUACUGAGCUCCUGUACAUACCCGCAGUUCCAGCAGAAGGAAUUAUUUUAUGUUCUAGCAUGGUAGUUUUGUGUAUCGUACGUCUGAAUAUAAACUAAAAUAAAGACUGCUAAGUUAUCUGAAACCACUGUUGUAAAAUAAAUGUUUUCAAUGCAGAACUACGCGUGGGCUGCUUCUUUCCGUACCCGCGUGCUCCAGUCUGUCACCGAGAGCUGCGGGGAGGUUUCUGUGAUUCCCAAAGUCAGGAGGAGGUAGCACAGCCCCGGUGCGUGGGGCCAUAAAUGUUCCCGAUGCGUGGUUUCGUACAGUUUAACCCUGCGACGUGGUGCCCUUCGAUCGACAUCAGUUCUGCUGUCCCCCAGUGGUGGUGAAGUGCUGGAUUUCCCCUUUCCUACCAGCUCUGCUCGGCUCUCAGCCCGUUUGUGCUGCAGCAGGGCCAACAACCGCCUCGGGUAAGGGUUUGUCCUACCAAAGAUCCAAAGUUGGGGUUUCACCAUCCUAAGGCACUCGUGGUGGGUGGUGCUUUGGGACUCAGACCUCUCCUGCUGCUGGGGGAUGUGUGAGAACCUCGCUGCCCACCCCCCGGUGGGGCUGGGGUCACAACAAAACCAACUCGGAGCUGCUGCAGUGAAGCACACGUUGCUCCUCAGAGCACCUCCCGGCACAGCGCGCAGUCUGCGCACUCCUAGAACUGCACUUUUAGCUUGAUUUGUCCUCAUUUCACGCAGCUCCCCCCUGUCCCCGUGCUCAGCCCCAACCCACCGUUGU